rnacentral:lncRNA from 1 species
GACUGCUUUCUCAAGUGGCUUAGUGUCUCCACUCAGGGGUGGUGGAGCUCUUCUUCUCACUGCUUCUUCUCAUUUUUUUCAUGCUCUGGCCUAAUGUCUUGGUGGUAUUAGCCUAGCACAACUUCAGUUGCACUGCAGGUUCUUCAUAAAAUUGAAACACUGUUUCCAGAUUUGGAUUUUCUUCUGCUCUGCCAUGGGUUGUUCACAUUCUCUCAAGGUUGUUACUACUGUUUUACCUUUUUCUACUUGAUAAUUUUGGAAACCGGCUUGAUGGAGGCCCUACAGUGACUAUUCAUUGGCUGAGCCUUUGGAUUAUCUUGGGAGGACCCUGAAAGAAUGACCUGGCCGGAAGAUUGUCCCAUCCUGCAUGAGGAGGGAAGAAUGAGCCUCACUCUACACCCAGAAUGCCAACUACAUUUUCAUCCAGUCCUCAAAAAAUAUCAUGCGCACCCAGAUUCUCCUGGUCAGACCAACACUGUGGAAACCCACUGGAUGCAUUCAGAGGGAUCACUGAUAAUGAAGAAUGAGAUGCCGUCAUCCAUCUGUAGGAAGAUGCUGCGUGUGCCAUAGAACCCAAAAGUCAUCUAUUGCAAGAGAGAAUCGAUUCUCCCAAGUAAACGGGGCCCUAUUAGUUUAAAAACUAAUGCAGCACAGAGAGAAAUCAGGUUCCUCAGACAAUGUUGAUUCUGUUUCCUUUUGAACCAUUAACAGCCUCACUUAAAGCCAUGUAUUGAAAGCUGCGACUUAACGUUAACCACAGUUUCUAAUGCAUUAAACAAAUGGCAAGGAUGACUGUAGGUCAUAGCCCCCUCCCUUCACACAUUAUACGCAAAUGCUUAUCUACUGGGUAUUUAAAGGAGAAAAGUUACAUCUAAACUCACUCCAUAAUGUAUGCUUUCAGCGUGGGAUGCUAAGCAAGUUCUGAUUUUGCGAGCUCAGAGUCACGCUAAAUGCCGGGAAUACAGGUUUCUUCUCAGAAAGGGCGGGCGGCUUUGGCUAAUGUCCUGGGGGAUGUCUUCAAAAUGCAAAGUGUGUGUCUGACCAUGGCCAUGGCAGUCUCAAGUUCCUUUGCCAAGGACUUUGGGGAAAUUCUUCCUCAGGAAACUCACAUAGCGGGAAGAGCAAGAGAGUCACAAAUAGUGCUUAAACCUGGGGUCUAUACCUUUUAACUCUUCAAACAGACAACAGCAGUAAAAAGAGCUCUGCUGCCAGUCUUCAGAGUCUUAACUGAGUUGGAGGCGAACUAUUGUGAAGUAUAAUGUAGUUAGUGACUCUGAAGUUAGUCCACAGAAAGCCAUUCUUUUUAAAUGGACCUACACAACAAUUGCCCCGCACACAAACUGCACAUGCAAUAUUCAAAGCCACUGCUAGGUGCGUUGCUGAGUGCAGAGAGCUGUGCUCCCAGAACCAUCAAGUCAACACGCCAGCUGCUCAGCAUUAUUUACAAUAUAUUGGCUUCACCACUGACCUAAAGAGCUGAAGAAAAUAACAGGCCAUAUUUUCAGCUUGGUAAAAGCCUGCAGUGGGGAGCCCUUUCACAACAAUUACAAGCAUUUGCUCGGAAUGCAUUUGCUGAUUUAACAAACUGGAGAGGACAAAUGUUUAACAUGCUGUCGUGAGGCUGUUCAGUCGCUUUUCUUGGUAUCCGUUGAUCUGAGAUAAUGUGUUCUUGCCCAAUCAUGCUACAAAGAAGCAGCGGAAAUAAAUAAAUAAAUAGAUGUAAUGCGAUGCGUUCCCACAAUAGCUGAGCUGCUGACGGCCCCUGACAGAUGGA